GAGGUGGGUUGAUCACAAGGUCAGGAGUUCAAGACCAUCCUGGUCAACAUAAUGAAACCCUGUUUCUACUAAAAAAAAGAAAGUAGUCAAGUGUGGUGGCAUGUAUCUGUAGUCCCAGCUUCUUGGGAAGCUGAGUCAGGAUAAUUGCUUGAACCUGGGAGGCAGAGUGUAGUGAGCCAAGACUUGGGUGCAGCUUGGUCCAUUGCACUGCAGCUUGGGUGACAGAGUGAGACUCUUGGCUGUGUUAUGUAUGUGUGCUGUGUAUGUUUUGUUGAGUAUGUGCUGUAUGUUGCAUGUGUCAUGUGUGUAUGUGUAUAAUGUGGAACUAAAGGAGAGUUGCAUGAUGCCUGACUUCUGACUUCUGUUCCAACAGCCAGCACUUAGUGCUUUCUGUGAGCCUGUCAUUCCUCUCAGGAAUUUUUUUUUUUUCUUUGAGACGAAGUCUCACUCUGUCGCCAGGCUGGAGUGCAGUGGUACGACCUCAGCUCACUGCAACCUCCGCCUCCAGGGUUCAAGCAAUUCUUCUGCCUCAGCCUCCCGAGUAGCUGGGACGACAGGCAUCUGCCAACACGCUUGGCUAGUUUGUGUAUUUUUAGUAGAGAUGGGGUUUCACCAUGUUGGGCAGGAUGGUCUCAAUCCCUUGACCUCAUGAUCUGCCUGCCCCGGCCUCCCAAAGUGCUGGGAUUACAGGUGUGAGCCACCACAUCCAGCAUAAUUUUUUUUUUUUAAUUUUUAUUGGAGACGAGGUCUCCUUAUGUUGCACAGUCUGGUCUCUAGCCCCUGAGUUCAAGGGCUCCUCCUGCCUCGGCCUCCCAAAGUUCUGGGAUUAUAGGUGUGAGCCAUUGCACCCAGCCCCCUGUGCCUUUGGAGGAGUGGGAAGAGUUGCCUUUGUGUCCUUGGGAAGACUGUCUGGGGUCAACAACGGGGGAUCAAGAUACAGCCAGCAGGGGCAUCUGACUCUGAUGUUAGCUGCUGGGUACCCACAACUGGGGUAACCACAAAGGAGAGGCAAAGAGGCCCAGAACUGUGCUUGGGACGGAGAUUCUCCAGAGAGCUCUCCAGCCUCCUCCCUCCCUCAAGUAAUGGAAGUUAUUGCACCACACACAGUAACUUCCCUCUUCUUGUAAAGCCUCAGGGCCACCAGACACCUGGGACCUAGCAGUUCAGCAUUUGCCCAAAUUCUUGGUUUUUUUCUUGAAAAAAGGAAAAGAUACUCUGAGUAUCUCAGCUGCUGAGAUAACAUUCUCUUUUUUUUGUUUAUUAUUUUUCUUAUUAUUUUUUGAGAUGGAAUUUUGCUCUUGUUCAGGGUGGAGUGCAAUGACAUGAUCUCGGUUCACUGCAACCUCUACCUCCUGGGUUCAAGAGAUUAUCCUGCCUCAGCCUCCUGAGUAGCAGGGAUUAUGGACAUGCAUCAGCACACAUGGCUAAUUUUGUAUUUUUAGUAGAGAUGGGGUUUCACCAUGUUGGUCAGGCUGGUCUCAAACUGCUGACCUCAGGUGAUCCGCCCGCCUCAGCCUCCCAGAGUGCUGGGGUUACAGGUGUGAGCCACCGUGCCUGGACUGGAAGAUAA
rnacentral:lncRNA from 13 species